CCCGAGCUAGGCCAGACGGGGUAGAGUUUAGUCAGGAGUUUGCCAGUCGCAGCAACGGACCUCCAUCACCACCGCCUCCUCCACCUCCAGCGCCCCUCACCACGUCACCACCAGCAUCACCACCACCCCCAAAACUUCAGCAUCCACGAUCAACGCCAGAAACUUGACCUCUCAGUCCAAGUCUUCAUUGCGGUCUUUCGUUUUGUUUGUGGAAGACUGCAAGACUUCCCUCGUGUUUACCUUCGCCGUUCAUCACCCUCCUCCUCCUCCUCCUCCUCCUCCUCCCUUUCUAUUCCUCUGGACUUAAUAAUCACACAACGUAGCCAAAGAAAACUCGACCAAUCUCACCGGAAACUUAAAAAUACUUAGUCCUUUACUGAAUACGACCUCGAAGACGAACUUUUGUGAUAUUUUUCUAAGUCUCCAAAGGUGUAGAACGCGUGUGUGGCGGUUCCCACUACUCACAGCUCUCAAACAAGGAACCAACGAGCCAGCGAAACACGGUUCAAGAAGUGUCACAAUACAUCCGUUGGCGUAAAGGCUGAACGCGGUGUAGCUUGAGCCCCAGUGCGUAAAAAUUGUGUAAAGUCGACGAUUGGGGUCAAGAGUGUUUGGUUUGCCUUCCACACACACACAUAUACACUCAAACACACACACACACACACACACAGACACACACACACAUCAUCGGUUACACAACACGCCUGCAAACCUAAGCAAAACAAACCCUAAGUGCAAGACAAGACUCAACUUUGACCUAAGAACGAAAGUGAAGAGAAAACAAAAGUAUAACAGAUUACAACAGACACACUCCUGCGGUCCCUUGCGUUCUGUGGUGUGAGUGCGUGCGUGCGUGCGUGAGUGGGUCGUUUUUUUGUCGCCUGUGCCUUCCUCGUCGUCACCGCAGCCAUGAGGGACAGGAAGUCAUGGAACGUGCCCUCUUCUACCUUCGCCAAGAACACCUUCAACCCAAUCAGAAACAUUGUGGAGAAUCUGCAGAUCGUCCCGCACCCCGACAAGCCCAUGAUCGCUUUGUCCAUAGGUGACCCUACGGUGUUUGGCAACCUCAAGCCGGCGCCGGAGGUCAUUGAGGCGGUGGUGGAGGCGACUCGGAAAGGCUCCUGCAACGGCUAUGUCUCCAGCACAGGGAUGGAGGAUGCACGCUCGGCGGUGGCCAAAUACUGUCGGGUGGAGGGCAAGGUGGAGCUGAGCCCAAAGGACGUGAUUCUGUGCUCGGGCUGCAGCUGUGCCCUGGACCUCUGCAUCACGGCUCUCUGCGGCCCCGGACAGACCCUCCUCGUGCCCCGCCCUGGCUUCCCCAUCUACAGGACGCUCGCGGAAGGACUUGGGGUCGUCGUGAAGGACUACAACUUGCUGCCUGAGCGCAACUGGGAGGUGGACCUUGAGAUGUUAGAGGCGUGCAUUGACGAGCAGACAGCGGCCAUCGUGGUAAACAACCCUUCCAACCCUUGCGGCUCCGUUUACACUCGCGCGCACCUGCUGGGUAUCCUCGAGGUGGCCGCCAGGAACAAGGUGCCCAUCAUUGCCGACGAGAUUUACGACCAUUUUGUGUUCGAGGGUCAGGAGUACCACGCCAUCGCCUCUCUGACAGACGAGGUGCCAGUGCUGUCAUGCGGGGGUCUCACCAAGCGCUUCCUGGUGCCUGGGUGGCGUAUGGGCUGGAUCACAAUCAACGACAGGAACAACGUCUUCGAGCAGGAGGUACGCAAAGGCCUUCAGUCACUCAGUCAGCGGAUCAUCGGUAGCAACACCCUGGUCCAAGGCGCGCUGCCCUCUAUCCUCGCCAACACGCCGCCCUCCUUCUUCACCGACACCCUCACCGUGAUACAGGCCAACGCUGAGAUGUCCUACUCCGUCCUGCGGGAGGUGCCUGGCCUGUGCCCCGUCAUGCCUCAGGGUGCGAUGUACAUGAUGGUGGGCGUGGAGAUGGCAAGCUUCCCGGCCCUCAAGAACGACCUCGACUUCGUGGAGAGACUCAUUUCCGAGGAGUCCGUCUUCUGCCUGCCGGGCAAGUGCUUUGACUUCCCCAACUACGUGAGGAUCGUUCUGACGGUACCGGACCAGCAGCUGCGGGAAGCGUGCAACAGGAUCGCCGACUUCUGCGCGCGCCACCACGCCUCCGCCCACGCCCUCGCUCACGCACACACAAACGGCCAUGUCAACGGAUCAGUGUGCGAGGCGGAAGCUUUCAAUAACAAAGUGGAGAAAGCGUUGGUUGUGGAGGUGGAAUCUGUGAGUGAGUGAGUGAGUGAGUGAGUGAGGGAAUGGGUGAGUGUGUGUGUGUGUGUGUGUGUGUGUGUGUGUGUGUGUGUGUGUGUGUGAAAGUUUUUGUCCACGAAAUGAAUAAAAACAAAUAAAUCAUGCAACAAAAUAUUUAUAACGUAAGAAAAUUGACUGAUUGACUGACUGACUGACUACCUGGUACUGACUGAAUGACUGCCUGACUGACUGACUGACCACAACUACAUCACAAAACCGAAAACCUGUUGACUCACUGACUGACUGGCGGACGAACUGACGGACUGACUGACUGACUGACUGACCAACUGACUAAGUGACUGACUGACUGACUGACCAACUGACUAAGUGACUGACUGACCUCAACUAAUACACAAGACUGAUAUGAUUUAUUACUGACGAAAACUAGGCCUAACUAACUGACUGACUGACUCACGGACUUACUGACUGACUGACCCAGUGGUUCCCAAACUUUUCCAGGCUGAGACCCCUUUUUCUUCCAGGUGUGUUCCAAGCCCCCCCCCUCCCCUCCCCCCCCUCCACACACACAUGGGAACACACACCUCUUUCUCGGUAGUUGGUGUGUUGCAAAAUGAAAACAAGAUGAAAGGUGAAUGAUGUUUCCUAUGUUUCUCUCUUCUUGAUGUCGUGGUUUUCCUGUUUUUUUUUUAUUGAUGUUAUUAUUUUCGAUAGUUUUUCUUUUCUUUUUCUCUUUUUCAUUCUUUCUUGAUGUUUAAACACUUGGCUUGGUACUACAAGGCACUUUCGCUUAACACAUCAACUAUUUCUAAAGGUCAAAGAAGGGGGUCAGUCGGGUUCUAAUGAGCGUUUCUUUAGUGUCACGGUACAGAGGAAGGGUCAAACUAACACCAGGGUCAUAAAACUACUUCUGGAAAUGCAUACAACUCCUACGAAAGCCUUGUCAAAUAUGUGUUCUUGGGCGAUUGAAUGUCUUAUGAUACGACCCAUAACCUUCGUGUCUGUGAUGAAGAGUUUGUCACUCAGAUAUUCUUUUUUAAAUACCACUAAUGCCACCUUGCCGCCCCCCUACCGCUCCUCUUUCCCUCGCCCCCCCACCCCCCACCGCUUACUUUUGGAACCACUGGACUAACCCAUCAAGCGACCCUUCAGUUUCUCCCGCCUCGCUACCCUUGACACUCCGCAUCAUUAGCGUGAGAGGCUGCAUCUGUCCUCCGCGCUCUUCUCUCCUGAUCUUUCCUUUCACAACGAGAUCAUUUCGAGGACACGAGACUCGCCAUAACGUCCUGCGAAGUGAAGCACGGACAAAAAGACCAUAGACAAAGACCUGAAACAUACACACGAAAAGAGAGAAUAAAAGGGUUGAAGGGAAUUAAAAUGUCGAUGAGGAUAAUGAUGAUGAUGAUGAUGAUGAUGAUAGCGUUUGAUACCUGGGAAAGAGAGGAGUUGAGGUGAAAAAUGGCAUCUGAUUUAUGAGAGGAGAGAGAGAUGAGUGAGUGUGUGUCUGUGUGUGUGUGUGUGUGUGUGUGUGUGUGUGUGUGUGUACCCUUCCGCACAAGCACAGAGCAUCGGGGACCGUGCAAACAUACGCCUUAAGGAACGCCGAUUCGUAGCGAGUAGUCAAUUAAUUAACGCUUAGCAUCAUGGAGUCACUUUCUUAUUUCUUUUCGUCUUAACUCACGCCAGCCUGUAACCGCAUAUGUACGCCACACACACACACACACACACACACACACACACACACACGUACUCCUCCCCCCUCCACACUCACAGAUGCACAGACACCCACCCCCCACCCCCCAUACACAGACCCCCACCCCCACACACCCCAUACACAGGCACCCUCCCCACACCCCUCGCACACAUAUACACGUACACACAAUUCUGUACAUACACACACAACGUACACGCAUUCAUUUUUAUUUCAAAGUCAUGAGCGCAGCAGGAGAUUUUGGGGGUCCAUGGAGGGGAGGGUGGCUACUUGUGGACCUCCUUCCCCCCCCCCACCCCCCUUGGUAUUUUCACCUUAAAAAUGUAUAUAUGCUAAACUUAAGACCCACUUCGAGGUACACUUUUGAGGACCCGGGAGGCGUUCUCAUACAGCCCCCCUCUCCCCUCCCCUUCAGCUACCCCCCCACCCCACCCCUGUUCAUGCUACAUAUAUAUACUCCUUCGUAGAUGCAGAACAAACUAUAGAUAAAUGUACAAAGGUGUAUACUGAAGAGAAAUAGAGAGAUAUAUUAAUAUGGAAAUAGUUUAAGAGAUUUGGUGAGUGUAAAAUUACUGGUAGGAAAAUUAAUCAAGGGAAGAAGUAUUAGGAGAGAGUGUAGAAGUGUAGAGUGAAAGGAGAAUAAAGAAAAGCAGUGUUAGAAAAGAAUGUGUUGGAGAGAAGAGGAGGAAGAGGAGGGGCCGCUUCUGAGGCGGACUAUCUUGUAUCAUAUCUGCUUUUUUUGCCUUUGAGCCGUCUCCUUUACUGAAAAAAAUGCCAAAAAAAAAAAAGGAGAGCAGUGUUCGAUAAGUGAAUAAAAUCAGUAGGCAUGGAACGCGUUGUUUAGAAAGGAAGAAUCACGGAGAGGGGUCAAGAAAUCUCAGCGAGGAUAAAAAUGAUGAUGAUGAUGAUGAUGACAGCGUUUGAUACCAUGAGGAAGAGAAGCGAAGGUGAAAACUAGGGGGAAAAAUAGCAGGAGAAAAGUGUCGCUUAAUAACCCGGUCGCUGCGAUUGGCACGGAUUUCGCCUUCACUGGUAGCCUGGUCACAUAUACUCCCAUGUCAUUCUCUGCCUCUGUGGUGGAUAGUGGAGUGUUUCCCAUGUGGUAUUGGUGUGCUGGAUAUCCUCUCCCAAGGUGCAGGAUAUUACAUUUUUCUUCACUGAAUUGUAGCAGCCACUUUUUGUUCCCUUCCUGCAGCUUGGUGAUGUCUUCUUGUAGGAAAUCCGCAGUCAAGGGGUUAAGUAGAGUAUCGUUAGAGUAUAAUUCAGCUUCGUUUCCUCAGCUCUUUGGUAAAGCACAAUUAUAUUCCGUCCUCGUCGAGUGCAGGAGACGAACAGCACAAGUCUUUUUUUACAGCAAAGGAGACAGCACAAGGGCACAAAAAAGAAGAGAAGGAGAGGAAAGGACAGGAAAGGAAAGGAAGGGAAAGAAAAGAAAAGGAAACAAUAAAAGAAAGCCCGCUACUCGCUGCUCCUGUUAUUAAUCCGAAGAGGUGUCCGAAAGAGAAGUCAGUUACGUGAGAAGAGGUGUUAUUGUUACUCGUAGUGUUAGUGUUUCGAGGUCAUUCUUCCCAUAAGUAUUUAAGGUCACUACAGCUCUAUAAAAAGACUCAUUAUGUAUGUAGGCGUGAUCAGAAUAAUUGUAAUAAAGAUGAUAAAAAAAAUAAUAAACAUUGAAUCGUUAAGAA